ACGCUGGCGGCGUGCCUAAUACAUGCAAGUCGAACGCCCAGCGAAAGGUGCUUGCACCUUUCAAGUGAGUGGCGAACGGGUGAGUAACACGUGGACAACCUGCCUCAAGGCUGGGGAUAACAUUUGGAAACAGAUGCUAAUACCGAAUAAAACUUAGUGUCGCAUGACACAAAGUUAAAAGGCGCUUCGGCGUCACCUAGAGAUGGAUCCGCGGUGCAUUAGUUAGUUGGUGGGGUAAAGGCCUACCAAGACAAUGAUGCAUAGCCGAGUUGAGAGACUGAUCGGCCACAUUGGGACUGAGACACGGCCCAAACUCCCACGGGAGGCUGCAGUAGGGAAUCUUCCACAAUGGGCGAGAGCCUGAUGGAGCAACGCCGCGUGUGUGAUGAAGGCUUUCGGGUCGUAAAGCACUGUUGUAUGGGAAGAACAGCUAGAAUAGGAAAUGAUUUUAGUUUGACGGUACCAUACCAGAAAGGGACGGCUAAAUACGUGCCAGCAGCCGCGGUAAUACGUAUGUCCCGAGCGUUAUCCGGAUUUAUUGGGCGUAAAGCGAGCGCAGACGGUUUAUUAAGUCUGAUGUGAAAGCCCGGAGCUCAACUCCGGAAUGGCAUUGGAAACUGGUUAACUUGAGUGCAGUAGAGGUAAGUGGAACUCCAUGUGUAGCGGUGGAAUGCGUAGAUAUAUGGAAGAACACCAGUGGCGAAGGCGGCUUACUGGACUGCAACUGACGUUGAGGCUCGAAAGUGUGGGUAGCAAAC
rnacentral:rRNA from 1 species